GGUAAAUGAUAUUUGUUGCCUGAGAAUAUUUGAAGAGCAAAGUGAUGGACAUAAACAUCCAGUAAUAAAUAUCAAGAUAACACGUCAAAUUAGGGGGAUAUAAGAAUAGUCUUGGAGCAGUAAACUUUAGUAUGGGUCCUUGAUGGAUUCGCAGGACUUGGUAAAUGAUUGUCUUCACUACUUGAUUGUUGUUGAAAGAAGCGAAAAACUCACUAAGAAAAUCAAGUUGUGCACGUGUUACCCAUUUGUUCCUCCAGUCUUUUGAUAAGAUAUUGCUCUUCGCUGCAUCUUU
rnacentral:misc_RNA from 1 species